rnacentral:rRNA from 1 species
GAUGAACGCUGGCGGCGUGCCUAAUACAUGCGAGUCGAGCGAACAGACGAGGAGCUUGCUCCUCUGACGUUAGCGGCGGACGGGUGAGUAACACGUGGAUAACCUACCUAUAAGACUGGGAUAACUUCGGGAAACCGGAGCUAAUACCGGAUAAUAUAUUGAACCGCAUGGUUCAAUAGUGAAAGACGGUUUUGCUGUCACUUAUAGAUGGAUCCGCGCCGCAUUAGCUAGUUGGUAAGGUAACGGCUUACCAAGGCAACGAUGCGUAGCCGACCUGAGAGGAUGAUCGGCCACACUGGAACUGAGACACGGUCCAGACUCCUACGGGAGGCAGCAGUAGGGAAUCUUCCGCAAUGGGCGAAAGCCUGACGGAGCAACGCCGCGUGAGUGAUGAAGGUCUUCGGAUCGUAAAACUCUGUUAUUAGGGAAGAACAAAUGUGUAAGUAACUAUGCACGUCUUGACGGUACCUAAUCAGAAAGCCACGGCUAACUACGUG